GGNUNNUUAAUAAUCUGCUCAUGAAUUAUUUAAAUAGCCGCAGAUAUUCUGUGCUAAGGUAGCAUAAUCAUUUGUUUUUUAAUUUAAAACUAGUAUGAAAGAUUUUACAUUUUAAUUAACUUUAUUUUAUAUAAUAUUUUAAAUUUUAUUAAUUAUAAAAAUAUAAUUUUUUAAUAAAAAGACGAUAAGACCCUAUUGAAUUUUACUUAUGUUUAGCUGGGGUAGCUAAUUAAAUUAAAUUUUAUUUAAUUUUUUUUAAAAAUUAUCUAUUAUAAUUAAAAUUUUAAUAAAUUACCAUAGGGAUAACAGCGUAAUAUAAUUUUUUAGUUCUCAUUUAAAAUUUGGAUUGCGACCUCGAUGUUGAAUUAUUAUUUCUUAUUAAACGCAAUAGUUAAAAAAGUAGGUCUGUUCGACCUUUAAUAUAAUACAUGAUCUGAGUUCAAACCGGAGA
rnacentral:rRNA from 1 species